rnacentral:tRNA from 1 species
GGGGUUGUGGCUCAGUGGUAGAGCACUCACUUGCAUGUGCGAGGCCCUGGGUUCAAUCCUCAGCACCA